rnacentral:rRNA from 1 species
CCCUUAGAUGUCCUGGGCUGCACGCGCGCUACACUGAUGUGUCCAGUAAGCACCUAACCUCUUCCGAAAGGAACGGGUAACCUUUGCAAAGCACAUCGUGAUGGGGAUAGAUUAUUGCAAUUAUUAGUCUUGAACGAGGAAUUCCUAGUAAGCACGAGUCAUCAGCUUGUGUUGAUUACGUCCCUGCCCUUUGUACACACCGCCCGUCGCUCCUACCGAUUGAAUGUUCCGGUGAGCUCUUCGGACUGCGCGGUCUGCAGUUUCUGCGUUCCGUGCGGAAAGUUGCGCAAACCUUAACAUUUAGAGGAAGGAGAAGUCGUAACA